UCGACAUCAGGGAGCUCCCCAUGGAACCAAAACCUAACCUUCAACAAAUCCAUCAAAUUUAAGGAUCAAAUGAAGCCCAAAUUCACAACCGAGCGUGAAUUUGCGAUCACCCGAACAAGAGAAUCGUAAGGUGGGAGCUUGUGAAUGAAGCGGGUCAAACGGAUCAAGAACGGAAGGAAAAGCAUGGCAUGGAUGCAAGGUAAGUGAAUCUUACACUUCUUUUGUAAAAUAUCUAUACGUUCUACAAGUUAUGAAUGUGAUCUAGAUAUUAUUCGAAAUAUGGUUUCCGACGCGUUUCGAUACGGGUCGGAACAAACAUAAAUGAUAUAGACCAUGGUUCAUGGUAAAAAGGGCGAAACGGUAAAUAGGUCAUGUAAUGACUAAGAGUUUUUGAACUUUCGUUAAGAUUACCUUAUAAGUGUAAUCUAAUAAUAAUAAUAAUGAUAGGAAUAUGAUGACAAUUAGUCGCGUGCCGACAAAUGUAAGUAAAAGUUAAAAGAUACUCUAAGGCGUAAGCCGAAAUGGGAUAAAUAAUGAAAAUGGUAAAUUUGUAUGUAUACCAUUUUAAUACUAAUGCAAGGGGUUUGAUCGUUUAGACCAAACAGAUAAUAUGGUGAUUUUAGCGCCAUUUGACGAAUAACGACUAAUGAGUAUUGUCAAGUCAAAUGCUCACAGGAUAAAAGAAAAACGGCUUACGGAAGUUUGCAUUUGCUAUAAAAUUUGCAAAGUCAUUAAUGCAAGGUAUUAAAACGGGUCAGUAGUGACCCGAACCAGGUACGCAUAUUUUGAAUGAUAGUUAGAAGUAAUAUGAUGGUCAAAUAUUAGUGAACGGCCUUCGUCAUAAUACGAGGGACUGAAAUUGACCAAAAAGCCCUCGUUGGGUAAACCGAACAAACAACUUUUAAUGGUUGUUUGGAAACGAAUUUUAUGGUUGAAUAAAUACUUAGAAUAAGUAUAGAAGCCGAAGGAGGUAUUAUAUUAGUCUAAUGGCACUAUUUGAGUUUUGCCGUAAAAUAAUGAUUCGAUAGGUAAAAAUUUGGUUUUCAUAGAUCACCACAUUAUAUCCACCAUAAAUACAGUUGUGGUGGGAGAUUAUAGGACAAGAAAUGUGGUGAAGGAAUGCUAAAAGCAAUAGAAGUGAUUUUAGGCUCGAAAGUGCUUAAAUACCGUAACGGGUCAAAACAAUCCUUUAAGUAUAAACAGGUUUAAGAUCAUACCUAAACUUGUGAAUUAAACCUAAUAUGAUAGACAACAUUGAAAUUAUAAGGUUCAUGCGAAAUCAGGAUCAAACAAUCAUGUUGUUUGAUAAAAUCACGAACGGGUCAAAAAUUGGUGAAAAGGGGUAAUAAGCGAAGACUUGAAAGUCUUAAGUUUUGCUAAUCCGGAUGUUGGAUUUUAACUCCACAUGAUGGGGGAUCAAAUUACAAUCACAUGGGAAGAAACGGUGGGUUAAACGGAUAAGCGUAUUGAAAGAUACGAAAGUUUUCGUGUCAAAUAACGGCAAAAAUGGAAAGGUGGGAUGCAGGGGCCACCGUAACUUACGGUGCUACCGUAAGUUACGGUGGAGCUAAAACUUUUACGGUAGAACACCCCUGACUUACGGUGGGGGAAUUGAACAUUCAGGGGCCACCGUAACUUACGGUGACCACCGUAAGUUACGGUGGAGCUGAUUGUUUGUGGAUCAAGAUAUCAAUGUUGCAUUUUUCCUAAUUUCCUUAUUAUAUUGGUUAUUUAAUUAUCAAAACUGACUUUUAAGUUGGUUUUGAUCACAGGUGAAUGUCGUUAGUCCCGGGUGAAGAUCAAGCAUCGAGCAAGUACCGAACACAUGCUAAACGAAGCUUCCGCAUUGCUGUUUAGUCGUUAUUCUAUAACGAUGAAUUAAAAUCACAUUAUGUUGUAUCACUUUAAAUUGUAAAAGUUUUUAGCAAGCCCGUAUUUUCAGUGUAAUUGUGACUAUAAUUACAUGGUUUUGAGGUUAAA